rnacentral:lncRNA from 1 species
UACCAAUAAUUGAAAGUGUAAAAGUUGAUGUAAUUUUGGUCCUAAGCUAUACAUCGAAUAAUUCAGAAAGUAAUUAUCAUUGAUUUUAAUUAAUUUUUCCACAUUGACUUGUUGAAGAUAAUUAAUUUCAUUAUUGGUAAUACAUAUAUUAUAAAUAUAAGAAAAUUAAAUAAAUAAUUUCACGUAGUUGACGACCACCUUGUGGUCAAUCUCAAUCGUCUAUUUGCUCACAUUUAAAGCCAUCAUUGAGAAUUAAGGGCAAGUGAUGAUUUGAGUAAUCAGAAUCAUCUUUUGUGUCAAUGUAAACGCAAGAGCACCGCUCCAGGGAUGAGAAGAAGACGGCGGCGACGCCGUUGAGGAGCCAUGAAGCGACGCUGUCCAGCUUUCUCAACGCCGGAACAACACAGCUCUGGCUUGUUUGUGACAGACCCUUGGGUUCCACCAGCUGACUCUCUUUAGAUUGGCACCAAUUUACGCAGCUUCCAGAAAUAAAAGCCGUACCCAUUUUUUGAGAUGGAGAGGACUUUGAAGUUGGGUAAUAAUUGAGGAGAGAUUUCCCACGUUGGCAGCUU